rnacentral:rRNA from 1 species
GACGGAGGGUGCUAGCGUUAUUCGGAUUUAUUGGGCGUAAAGGGAGUGUAGGCGGUCAGCCAAGUCUGAUGUGAAAGCCCGGGGCUUAACCUCGGAAGGGCGUUGGAAACUGGUUGACUUGAGUUCGGGAGAGGGAAGCGGAAUUCCGGGUGUAGAGGUGAAAUUCGUAGAUAUCCGGAGGAACACCGGUGGCGAAGGCGGCUUCCUGGACCGAAACUGACGCUGAGACUCGAAGGCGUGGGGAG